GUAGGUGGCAAGCGUUGUCCGGAAUUAUUGGGCGUAAAGCGCGCGCAGGCGGUUCUUUAAGUCUGAUGUGAAAGCCCACGGCUCAACCGUGGAGGGUCAUUGGAAACUGGAGAACUUGAGUACAGAAGAGGAAAGCGGAGUUCCACGUGUAGCGGUGAAAUGCGUAGAGAUGUGGAGGAACACCAGUGGCGAAGGCGGCUUUCUGGUCUGUAACUGACGCUGAGGCGCGAAAGCGUGGGGAGCAAACAGGAUUAGAUACCCUGGUAGUCCACGCCGUAAACGAUGAGUGCUAAGUGUUAGGGGGGUUUUCCGCCCCCCUUAGUGCUGCAGCUAACGCAUUAAGCACUCCGCCUGGGAGUACGGCCGCAAGGCUG
rnacentral:rRNA from 1 species